GCUGUAUUGGUCCCAGAAAUUGUUGGAGUAAAAGAACUACUUACCAACUUUCAAUCAUUAAUUUUCAUCAGCCAACCAAAAGUGACCAACCUCUCUACUAUUUAUCAUAGCUCUUCAGUUUUCUAUAUAUUACUAGCCCAUUUUCAUUUCUCCAUAAAACAGAUUGGUACCUUAAAACUUAUCUACUUCAGAUAACAAACUUACAUAGUCAAAAUAUCCACACUUACUCAGCAAUGGCAACCAAUGGAGAAAACCAGAAUUCAAGACACCAAGAAGUUGGACACAAGAGUCUCUUGCAAAGUGAUACACUUUAUCAGUACAUUCUUGAAACAAGUGUGUACCCAAGAGAGCCUGAAGCCAUGAAAGAGCUAAGAGAGAUUACUGCAAAACAUCCUUG